rnacentral:lncRNA from 1 species
CGGUAAGACAGGGAAAGUGUUUGUUAGUCAGCUUGAUUUUCAAGGCUCUGGAGUUCUGGGCAGUUUUCAAGGCUCGAGAUAAGUUUUCCGACGUUAAUUCUAAAUAAAUCUCGUUGUUUUCUUCAGAGACUCCUUCCAUUUGAAAUUCACUAAAAAAGUUCUCCUGCAGAACAGAAACAGGCAUUUGUGGCCUUUCCAGCACUCCUGGCUGGAGCCCAGAACCUCUGGGUUCUCCUGCUCACCUGCUCCAGCUCACACCACAUGCUCACGCCUCCACUGGCCAGCUUGUCGCACAGGAUGAAGUUCAGCUUCUCCGGGCUGAUGCGGAGGGUGCAGGUUUUGGCAAGCUUGGCUAUCAUGUUACUGACUCCUACAGCGAGGGGGGUAAACAGUAACUAAGCUCACUGAGGAGCCUACUGGUCUUCUUGCAGAACUUCUUUCUAGCUCACAGAUCACUCUUGUAUUUUAAUGCUGCUGACAUCCUGCCAGUCUCCCAACAACCCUGCGAGCCCACAGCACCAGAAUUCAAAACGGAAACAGAAUAAAGAAACAGUCUCAGAAGACAACUGACAACCGGGGGCCAGGCGGUUCCACAUUCCACAGAAACGUAGGAGCCACCGGGUACUGCAGCUCACAACUGCUACAAGGACAGUCAGGAAUGCUAGGAAGUGCUCAUGGAAUGAGGAAUGGAAAAUCUCACUGAAAUAUCAAGAGCUUCCAGGCAAAGGAAAGCACGUUUGGCUUGACAUGGAAGGCUGGUCA